rnacentral:rRNA from 1 species
AGAGUUUGAUCCUGGCUCAGAUUGAACGCUGGCGGCAGGCCUAACACAUGCAAGUCGAGCGGAAACGAGUUAUCUGAACCUUCGGGGAACGAUAACGGCGUCGAGCGGCGGACGGGUGAGUAAUGCCUGGGAAAUUGCCCUGAUGUGGGGGAUAACCAUUGGAAACGAUGGCUAAUACCGCAUAAUGCCUUCGGGCCAAAGAGGGGGACCUUCGGGCCUCUCGCGUCAGGAUAUGCCCAGGUGGGGUUAGCUAGUUGGUGAGGUAAUAGCUCACCAAGGCGACGAUCCCUAGCUGGUCUGAGAGGAUGAUCAGCCACACUGGAACUGAGACACGGUCCAGACUCCUACGGGAGGCAGCAGUGGGGAAUAUUGCACAAUGGGCGCAAGCCUGAUGCAGCCAUGCCGCGUGUAUGAAGAAGGCCUUCGGGUUGUAAAGUACUUUCAGUCGUGAGGAAGGUUCAUGCGUUAAUAGCGUAUGGAUUUGACGUUAGCGACAGAAGAAGCACCGGCUAACUCCGUGCCAGCAGCCGCGGUAAU